UUUCGAAAGCGACGAAAUCGCGUAAAGGAAAACAAUUACUUACUAUUUACUAAAUUGGGAUCGCCGAACUCGAAAAAAAAGUGAUAUUUUAUCAUUUUACAUUCCAAAAGUCACGAAUACGACAUAUUUAUAAUUGUCGCGAAUGAAACACAGAUAAUAUACAUACCCAUAAUAUAUUGUAAUGGACAUCGUUGGCCGGAUACGGACUACUGCAUAAUAUCCGAUAGACGAUGACAAUAAUAGAAUUUGUCAAUUUGAUAUUAAAUUAUGUUCAAUACCAAUGCCAGACAGACAACGAACGGGCAGUCGGUUUCUGUAGUAGGCACUUGCGUGCGGUGUACUUACGUGUUUCCGGACAACGCACACGCCGUAACUGAUAUCCGUACGUUGGCCCACUGGCAAGAAUAGGACCAAAACGUAUAUAAAUACAAUAUACAUAUACAUGGAAAAAUUUGACGGCGAGGAAUAAACGUUGUAAAAAUGCAGC